UGUUGUUGCAUAUAUUAAUUUCUCUGCGAAAGGUGGUUUCUGCAGAUCUUAGAAGAUGCUAUGGGCCUGGGGAAAACUGUAAUGACAAUUGCUCAAAUACUUGCUAGGCCGGGCAAGGGUAUCCCUGAGGAUAGGUGAGGACAUGCCUAUUACUCAGCAUUCUAGGAACAGAAGGAUUAAAGGAUGAACGUGAAGCCCAUUCAAUGCCAGAUAGCAUUUCUGUUUUUGUUCAUUAUGGUGGGGACAGAAGUAAUGACCCAAGAGUGAUAGUGGAACCAGAUGUGGUCUUGACAACCUAUGGUCUUCUAACUGCUGCAUAUAAGGCUCAUAUUCCAUGAAGUUGAUUGGCAUCGAAUUGUACUGGAUGAAGCACACACCAUAAAAUCCUGGAGAACUGUGAGUGCUAGGGCUGCAUUC